AACCUGGUUGAUCCUGCCAGUAGUCAUAUGCUUGUCUUAAAGAUUAAGCCAUGCAUGUCUAAGUAUAAAUAGUAUACAGUGAAACUGCGAAUGGCUCAUUAAAACAGUUAUAGUUUAUUUGAUAGUGUUUUUACAUGGAUAACCGUGGUAAUUCUAGAGCUAAUACAUGCGCAAAUACCCGACUCACGAAGGGUAGCAUUUAUUAGUUUCAACCAUCACUUGGUGAAUCAUAGUAACUUAGCUGACCGCGCGCAAGCGUGGUAAAUCAUUCAAGUUUCUGCCCUAUCAGCUUUCGAUGGUAGUGUAUUGGACUACCAUGGCAGUCACGGGUAACGGAGAAUUAGGGUUCGAUUCCGGAGAGGGAGCCUGAGAAACGGCUACCACAUCUAAGGAAGGCAGCAGGCGCGUAAAUUACCCAAUCCCGAUUCGGGGAGGUAGUGACAAGAAAUAACAACUCGGGUGGUUUUCCACUUCGGGAUUGCAAUGAGACAAAUCUAAAAACCUUUACGAUUAACAAUUGGAGGGCAAGUCUGGUGCCAGCAGCCGCGGUAAUUCCAGCUCCAAUAGCGUAUACUUAAGUUGUUGCAGUUAAAAAGCUCGUAGUUGAAAGUCGAAUUAGUCACGCUGAUGGCUCCAGUCGUCACGUUGGCUGAUUCUCCGUCUAUGAACUUCUUGCUCCUUAAAAAGAAUAAGAUGUUGAGUAGACACUUUACCUUGAAAAAAUUAGAGUGUUCCAGGCAGGUUUUCGCCGGAAUACAUUAGCAUGGAAUAAUGGAAUAGGACACUGGUCUGUUGUUGGUUUUUGGACCAUUGUAAUGAUUAAUAGGGACAGAUGGGGGCAUUAGUAUUUAAUUGUCAGAGGUGAAAUCCUUGGAUUUAUUAAAGACUAACUUAUGCGAAAGCAUUUGCCAAGGAUGUUUUCAUUAAUCAAGAACGAAAGUUAGGGGAUCAAAGACGAUCAGAUACCGUCGUAGUCUUAACUAUAAACUAUACCGACUCGGGAUCGGAAGGGUUAUUUAUUUGGCCCUUUCGGCACCGUAAGAGAAAUCAAAGUCUUUGGGUUCUGGGGGGAGUAUGGUCGCAAGGCUGAAACUUAAAGGAAUUGACGGAAGGGCACCACCAGGAGUGGAGCCUGCGGCUUAAUUUGACUCAACACGGGGAAACUUACCAGGUCAAAACAUGGAUGGGAUUGACAGAUUGAAAGCUCUUUCUUGAUUCUAUGGGUGGUGGUGCAUGGCCGUUCUUAGUUGGUGGAGUGAUUUGUCUGGUUAAUUCCGAUAACGAACGAGACCUUAACCUGCUAACUAGUCCAUUCCUGAAUAAGGGGUGCGACUUCUUAGAGGGACUAUGUAUGUUAAAUGCAUGGAAGUUUAAGGCAAUAACAGGUCUGUGAUGCCCCUAGAUGUCCUGGGCCGCACGCGCGCUACAAUGACACGUUCAGCGAGCUCAUUACCUGGCCCGAAAGGGUUCGGGAAAUCUUGUUAGGACGUGUCGUGCUGGGGAUAGAUCUUUGUAAUUAUAGAUCUUGAACGAGGAAUUCCUUGUAAGCACAGGUCAUCAGCCUGUGCUGAAUACGUCCCUGCCCUUUGUACACACCGCCCGUCGCUCCUACCGAUUUCGAGUGAUGUGGUGAACCAUCUGGACUGCGAGUAGGCUCGAACUACUUGCGGGAAGUUUUGUAAACCUUAUCACUUAGAGGAAGGAGAAGUCGUAACAAGGUUUCCGUAGGUGAACCUGCAGAAGGAUCA
rnacentral:rRNA from 1 species